CUCUACCCCACAGCAGGUGACCGCAGUGAUCCAGCCAGCAUGGUGCCUCACUCACACUCUCCUUCACCCACCUUCGCUGUGAGCCAUGAAACUUCUUGAAAAGAUGACCUUGGAGGAGCACAGGAAGCUCACCAGUGAACUGCUUCAGAGGCAGCCAGGGUUCAUUUUUGAUGCCUUCAUGAUGCAUCAGUGCAGGCAUGGUGUCCCACCAUUUGCUGGAGUGCCAGGGGUACCAUGGUAUACUUGUAGUAACUGUACAGACAUGCCUACGGACCGGGAGAGGAAAUGCUAUGGCCAGUACCCUUCAGAUUGUGUAAUAAUAAUACCGCACUUCUCCCAGUUCUGUCUUGAAAAUGCUUUUUAUGCAUUCACAGGCGGUACUGGGAGGACAUUUUGGUAUUUGGCCAAACCAGGAAGCCUGGGGAUGACAACCGGGAGUACCGUUAUGCUGCCUAUAGACAUUUCAUCUAUUGACAGCAUGGCUCUUUAGGCCAGGGAAACCGACUUGUCAUCCCCAGUUGCUGUGUUUGGAGGAUCAGGGACAAGUUCCCUGGUCUUCCAAAGACAUCACACUGGUUUCACACCUGGCCUCUGAGUUUCUUUCCAGGUCCUCUGGAACGUCCACACAGUAUCUCAGGUACUCACACACCUGCCUGUUCAUCAUCAAGGCAUCAAAUCAUCUCAUAUUUAUUUGUUACAUUUCUGA